rnacentral:rRNA from 1 species
AUUGAACGCUGGCGGCAGGCUUAACACAUGCAAGUCGAACGGUAGCAGGAGGAAGCUUGCUUUCUUGCUGACGAGUGGCGGACGGGUGAGUAAUGCUUGGGAAUCUGGCUUAUGGAGGGGGAUAACUACGGGAAACUGUAGCUAAUACCGCGUAGUAUCGGAAGAUGAAAGUGCGGGACCGUAAGGCCGCAUGCCAUGAGAUGAGCUCAAGUGGGAUUAGGUAGUUGGUGGGGUAAAGGCCUACCAAGCCUGCGAUCUCUAGCUGGUCUGAGAGGAUGGCCAGCCACACUGGAACUGAGACACGGUCCAGACUCCUACGGGAGGCAGCAGUGGGGAAUAUUGCGCAAUGGGGGAAACCCUGACGCAGCCAUGCCGCGUGAAUGAAGAAGGCCUUCGGGUUGUAAAGUUCUUUCGGUAUUGAGGAAGGUUGAUGUGUUAAUAGUACAUCAAAUUGACGUUAAAUACAGAAGAAGCACCGGCUAACUCCGUGCCAGCAGCCGCGGUAAUACGGAGGGUGCGAGCGUUAAUCGGAAUAACUGGGCGUAAAGGGCACGCAGGCGGUUAUUUAAGUGAGGUGUGAAAGCCCCGGGCUUAACCUGGGAAUUGCAUUUCAGACUGGGUAACUAGAGUACUUUAGGGAGGGGUAGAAUUCCACGUGUAGCGGUGAAAUGCGUAGAGAUGUGGAGGAAUACCGAAGGCGAAGGCAGCCCCUUGGGAAUGUACUGACGCUCAUGUGCGAAAGCGUGGGGAGCAAACAGG